GUUGUAUGGUUAAGUGACUAAGCGUACACGGUGGAUGCCUGGGCAGUCAGAGGCGAUGAAGGACGUACUAACUUGCGAUAAGCGCAGAUAAGGCAGUAAGAGCCGUUUGAGUCUGCGAUUUCCGAAUGGGGAAACCCAACUGCAUAAGCAGUUACUGUUAACUGAAUACAUAGGUUAACAGAGCAAACCGGGGGAACUGAAACAUCUAAGUACCCCGAGGAGAAGAAAUCAACCGAGAUUCCGGUAGUAGCGGCGAGCGAACCUGGAUUAGCCCUUAAGCACUCGGUGAAGUAGGUGAACAAGCUGGAAAGCUUGGCGAUACAGGGUGAUAGCCCCGUAACCGACGCUUCAUCGAGCGUGAAAUCGAGUAGGGCGGGACACGUGAUAUCCUGUCUGAAUAUGGGGGGACCAUCCUCCAAGGCUAAAUACUCCUGACUGACCGAUAGUGAACCAGUACCGUGAGGGAAAGGCGAAAAGAACCCCUGUGAGGGGAGUGAAAUAGAACCUGAAACCGUGUACGUACAAGCAGUAGGAGCACCUUCGUGGUGUGACUGCGUACCUUUUGUAUAAUGGGUCAGCGACUUAUAUUCAGUGGCAAGGUUAACCGUAUAGGGGAGCCGUAGCGAAAGCGAGUCUUAACUGGGCGCUCAGUCUCUGGAUAUAGACCCGAAACCGGGUGAUCUAGCCAUGGGCAGGUUGAAGGUUGAGUAACAUCAACUGGAGGACCGAACCGACUAAUGUUGAAAAAUUAGCGGAUGACUUGUGGCUAGGGGUGAAAGGCCAAUCAAACUCGGAGAUAGCUGGUUCUCCCCGAAAGCUAUUUAGGUAGCGCCUCGGACGAAUACUACUGGGGGUAGAGCACUGUUAAGGCUAGGGGGUCAUCCCGACUUACCAACCCUUUGCAAACUCCGAAUACCAGUAAGUACUAUCCGGGAGACACACGGCGGGUGCUAACGUCCGUCGUGGAGAGGGAAACAACCCAGACCGCCAGCUAAGGUCCCAAAGUAUUGCUAAGUGGGAAACGAUGUGGGAAGGCUCAGACAGCUAGGAUGUUGGCUUAGAAGCAGCCAUCAUUUAAAGAAAGCGUAAUAGCUCACUAGUCGAGUCGGCCUGCGCGGAAGAUGUAACGGGGCUAAGCAAUACACCGAAGCUGCGGCAAUGUCUUUUAGACAUUGGGUAGGGGAGCGUUCUGUAAGCCGUUGAAGGUGAAUCGUAAGGUUUGCUGGAGGUAUCAGAAGUGCGAAUGCUGACAUGAGUAACGACAAAGGGGGUGAAAAACCUCCUCGCCGGAAGACCAAGGGUUCCUGUCCAACGUUAAUCGGGGCAGGGUGAGUCGACCCCUAAGGUGAGGCCGAAAGGCGUAAUCGAUGGGAAACGGGUUAAUAUUCCCGUACUUCUGACUAUUGCGAUGGGGGGACGGAGAAGGCUAGGUGGGCCAGGCGACGGUUGUCCUGGUUCAAGUGCGUAGGCUUGAGAGUUAGGUAAAUCCGGCUCUCUCUAAGGCUGAGACACGACGUCGAGCUACUACGGUAGUGAAGUCAUUGAUGCCAUGCUUCCAGGAAAAGCCUCUAAGCUUCAGAUAGUCAGGAAUCGUACCCCAAACCGACACAGGUGGUCGGGUAGAGAAUACCAAGGCGCUUGAGAGAACUCGGGUGAAGGAACUAGGCAAAAUGGUACCGUAACUUCGGGAGAAGGUACGCUCUUGAUGGUGAAGUCCCUCGCGGAUGGAGCUGACGAGAGUCGCAGAUACCAGGUGGCUGCAA
rnacentral:rRNA from 1 species